rnacentral:rRNA from 1 species
UACGGGGGGGGCAAGCGUUGUUCGGAAUUACUGGGCGUAAAGCGCACGUAGGCGGCUUUGUAAGUUAGAGGUGAAAGCCCGGAGCUCAACUCCGGAAUUGCCUUUAAGACUGCAUCGCUUGAAUCCAGGAGAGGUGAGUGGAAUUCCGAGUGUAGAGGUGAAAUUCGUAGAUAUUCGGAAGAACACCAGUGGCGAAGGCGGCUCACUGGACUGGUAUUGACGCUGAGGUGCGAAAGCGUGGGGAGCAAACAGG